ACCAUUCUGAAAAUGGAAUAGAAGAUAUUGAUAAUAAUACUGGUGUUUUUCAAUAUGACUGUACAAGAGAUCACACAAGGCAUGCUGGGAUAAGAAUAGAAAUUUAUACUACUAUGGAAUAUUUCAACAUACCAUUCUGAAAAUGGAAUAGAAGAUAUUGAUAAUAAUACUGGUGUUUUUCAAUAUGACUGUACAAGAGAUCACACAAGGCAUGCUGGGAUAAGAAUAGAAAUUUAUACUACUAUGGAAUAUUUCAACAUACCAUUCUGAAAAUGGAAUAGAAGAUAUUGAUAAUAAUACUGGUGUUUUUCAAUAUUACUGUACAAGAGAUCACACAAGGCAUGCUGAGAUAAGAA